GACGAACGCUGGCGGCGUGCCUAAUACAUGCAAGUCGAGCGGAAGUUGGAGAGCUUGCUCUUCAACUUUAGCGGCGGACGGGUGAGUAACACGUGGGCAACCUGCCCUGCAGAUCGGGAUAACUCCGGGAAACCGGUGCUAAUACCGAAUAGUUUUCGCCACCUCCUGGUGGCGUACGGAAAGACGGUUUCGGCUGUCACUGCAGGAUGGGCCCGCGGCGCAUUAGCUAGGUGGUGGGGUAACGUCCCACCAAGGCGACGAUGCGUAGCCGACCUGAGAGGGUGAUCGGCCAGACUGGGACUACGACACGGCCCAGACUCCUACGGGAGGCAGCAGUAGGGAAUCUUCCGCAAUGGACGAAAGUCUGACGGAGCAACGCCGCGUGAGUGACGAAGGUUUUCGGAUCGUAAAACUCUGUUGUGAGGGAAGAACAAGUACCAACUAACUACUGGUACCUUGACGGUACCUCACCAGAAAGCCACGGCUAACUACGUGCCAGCAGCCGCAGUAAGAC
rnacentral:rRNA from 1 species